UUCUUCUUUUAGGGGUGUUGCGGAAGGAU
rnacentral:rRNA from 1 species